GUGCACUUAGUUCACACUUCUACCCAGUGCUUUAUGAGAUGGAUUGAGAUUGUCAAUUUUGACUAUUUAUUGUGACAGCAUACUUCAAUGUAAGUGCAAGGUCAUACCUCGGUAAAGGAAGAACUCGACGAAGUCAAUAUCCACCUCCGCAACCUUGUAAGUGAAACACCUAAUCUCAUACAAAGCUAUGAACACAUUUAGAGAAUCUAGUAAUAUUUAAUCUUUCCUAUAAUAAACACUUUGGCCAU
rnacentral:lncRNA from 1 species